AUUGAACGCUGGCGUCAUGCUUUACACAUGCAAGUCGAACGGUAACAGGCCUUCGGGUGCUGACGAGUGGCGAACGGGUGAGUAAUGCAUCGGAACGUACCCAGAGGUGGGGGAUAACGCAGCGAAAGCUGUGCUAAUACCGCAUGUGAUCUGAGGAUGAAAGCGGGGGACCGAGCAGCAAUGUUUGGCCUCGCGCCUUUGGAGCGGCCGAUGUCGGAUUAGCUAGUUGGUGGGGUAAAGGCCUACCAAGGCGACGAUCCGUAGCUGGUCUGAGAGGACGACCAGCCACACUGGGACUGAGACACGGCCCAGACUCCUACGGGGGGCAGCAGUGGGGAAUUUUGGACAAUGGGCGCAAGCCUGAUCCAGCAAUGCCGCGUGCGGGAAGAAGGCCUUCGGGUUGUAAACCGCUUUUGGCAGGAACGAAACGGUGUCCGCUAAUACCGGGCGCUAAUGACGGUACCUGCAGAAUAAGCACCGGCUAACUACGUG
rnacentral:rRNA from 1 species